GUCCCGACAGUAAACGAUGGGCACUAGGUGUCGGAGGUAUCGACCCCUCCGGUGCCGCAGUUAACACAUUAAGUGCCCCGCCUGGGGAGUACGGCCGCAAGGUUGAAACUCAAAGGAAUUGACGGGGGCCCGCACAAGCGGUGGAGUAUGUGGUUUAAUUCGACGCAACGCGAAGAACCUUACCUGGGCUUGACAUGCAGGAGACAGGGUUAGAAGUAACCCCUCGUCUUCGGACGUUCCUGCACAGGUGCUGCAUGGCUGUCGU
rnacentral:rRNA from 1 species